rnacentral:miRNA from 10 species
AUUGUGUCCGUUUCUGCAAUUA